rnacentral:tRNA from 1 species
GACCGGAUAACUCAAAUGGUAGAGUAACCGACAUGUCUUCAGAGGGUUUUGGGUUCGAAUCCCAGUCCGGUAUCU